rnacentral:rRNA from 1 species
UACAGAGGUCUCAAGCGUUGUUCGGAUUCAUUGGGCGUAAAGGGUGCGUAGGCGGCGCGGUAAGUCGGGUGUGAAAUCUUGGAGCUUAACUCCGAAACUGCAUUCGAUACUGCCGUGCUUGAGGACUGGAGAGGAGACUGGAAUUUACGGUGUAGCGGUGAAAUGCGCAGAUAUCAGGAGGAACACCGGUGGCGAAGGCGGGUCUCUGGGCCGUAACUGACGCUGAGGAGCGAAAGCAGUGGGGAGCGAACAGG